rnacentral:rRNA from 1 species
UACGUAGGGAGCAAGCGUUGUCCGGAAUCAUUGGGCGUAAAGCGCGCGUAGGUGGCCAUGUAAGUCCGCUGUGAAAGUCAAAGGCUCAACCUUUGAAAGCCGGUGGAUACUGCAUGGCUAGAGUACGGAAGAGGCGAGUGGAAUUCCUGGUGUAGCGGUGAAAUGCGUAGAUAUCUGGAGGAACACCGGUGGCGAAGGCGGCAUCCUGGACCGAGAUUGACGCUGAUGCGCGAAAGCCAGGGGAGCAAACGGG